rnacentral:rRNA from 1 species
AUUGAACGCUGGCGGCAGGCCUAACACAUGCAAGUCGAGCGGAUGAAGGGAGCUUGCUCCUGGAUUCAGCGGCGGACGGGUGAGUAAUGCCUAGGAAUCUGCCUGGUAGUGGGGGAUAACGUCCGGAAACGGGCGCUAAUACCGCAUACGUCCUGAGGGAGAAAGUGGGGGAUCUUCGGACCUCACGCUAUCAGAUGAGCCUAGGUCGGAUUAGCUAGUUGGUGGGGUAAAGGCCUACCAAGGCGACGAUCCGUAACUGGUCUGAGAGGAUGAUCAGUCACACUGGAACUGAGACACGGUCCAGACUCCUACGGGAGGCAGCAGUGGGGAAUAUUGAACAAUGGGCGAAAGCCUGAUCCAGCCAUGCCGCGUGUGUGAAGAAGGUCUUCGGAUUGUAAAGCACAUUAAGUUGGGAGGAAGGGCAGUAAGUUAAUACCUUGCUGUUUUGACGUUACCAACAGAAUAAGCACCGGCUAACUUCGUG